rnacentral:rRNA from 1 species
GACGUUAGGUCAUGGCUCGGAAUGCAUGCCGCCGGCGAUGCCUAACGCAAACAAGUCGUACGAGUCACUCCGGGCUUGCUCGGGGACGUAAAGUGGCGCACGGGUGAGUAACGCGUGGGUAAUCUACCCUGUUUUAGUGGGGGAUAACCCUCCGAAAGGAGGGCUAAUACCGCAUAAUAUCUUCACUUCUAAAAGAAGAGAAGAUUAAAGAUGGCCUCUAUACUAUGCUAUCGCUUCAGGAUGAGCCUGCGUCCUAUUAGUUAGUUGGUGGGGUAAUGGCCUACCAAGACCACAAUGGGUAGCCGGUCUGAGAGGAUGUACGGCCACACUGGGACUGAGAUACGGCCCAGACUCCUACGGGAGGCAGC